rnacentral:rRNA from 1 species
GACGAACGCUGGCGGCGUGCUUAACACAUGCAAGUCGAACGAUGAAGCGGUGCUUGCACCGUGGAUUAGUGGCGAACGGGUGAGUAAUACGUGAGUGACCUACCUUUGACUCUGGGAUAAGCCUGGGAAACUGGGUCUAAUACCGGAUACGACCAAUCUCUGCAUGGGGUGUUGGUGGAAAGCGUUAUGGAGUGGUUUUAGAUGGGCUCACGGCCUAUCAGCUUGUUGGUGAGGUAAUGGCUUACCAAGGCGACGACGGGUAGCCGGCCUGAGAGGGUGACCGGCCACACUGGGACUGAGACACGGCCCAGACUCCUCCGGGAGGCAGCAGUGGGGAAUAUUGCACAAUGGGCGCAAGCCUGAUGCAGCGACGCCGCGUGAGGGAUGACGGCCUUCGGGUUGUAAACCUCUGUUAGCAUCGAAGAAGCGAAAGUGACGGUAGGUGCAGAGAAAGCGCCGGCUAACUACGUG